rnacentral:rRNA from 1 species
CAAGGGGACGGCGAGACAGGUGGUGCAUGGUUGUCGUCAGCUCGUGUCGUGAGAUGUUGGGUUAAGUCCCGCAACGAGCGCAACCCCUACGUUUAGUUGCUAACGCGUGAAGGCGAGCACUCUAGACGAACUGCCGUUGACAAAACGGAGGAAGUGGGGAUGACGUCAAAUCAUCAUGCCCCUUAUGUUCUGGGCUACACACGUGCUACAAUGGCCGGUACAGACGGACGCAAAGCCGCGAGGUGGAGCAAAUCCUAAAAAGCCGGUCUCAGUUCGGAUUGCAGGCUGCAAUUCGCCUGCAUGAAGUCGGAAUCGCUAGUAAUCGCAGGUCAGCAUACUCGCGGUCGAAUACGUUCCCGGGCCUU